ACUUAGUGGAGAACGGGUGAGUACGUAGGUAACAACCUGCCCAUGUGUCCGGGAUAACUGCUGGAAACGGUAGAUAAAACCGGAUAGGUAUACCGAGCGCAUGCUCAGUAUAUUAAAGCGCCCUUCAAGGCGUGAACAUGGAUGGACCUGCGGCGCAUUAGCUAGUUGGUGAGGUAACGGCCCACCAAGGCGAUGAUGCGUAGCCGGCCUGAGAGGGUAAACGGCCACCUUGGGACUGAGACACGGCCCAAACUCCUACGGGAGGCAGCAGUAGGGAAUUUUCGUCAAUGGGGGAAACCCUGAACGAGCAAUGCCGCGUGAGUGAAGAAGGUCUUCAGAUCGUAAAGCUCUGUUGUAUCUGAAGAACGGCUCAUAGAGGAAAUGCUAUGGGAGUGACGGUAGCUUACCAGAAAGCCACGGCUAACUACGUGCC
rnacentral:rRNA from 1 species